rnacentral:tRNA from 1 species
GGAGAUAUGGCUCAGUGGUUAAGAGCACUGGCAGCUCUUGCAGAGAACCAGGGCUUGAUUCCCAGUACCUACA